GGUAGCGUGGCCGAGUGGUAUAAGGCGCUGGUUUUAGGAGCCAGUCCUAACUAGGGCGUAGGUUCGAAUCCCACCGCUGCCA